GAGGACGACGCUGGCGGCGUGGAUUAGGCAUGCAAGUCGAACGGUAUCAUCCUUCGGGGGUGAGAGAGUGGCGAACUGGUGAGUAACACGUAGGUUAUCUACCCUCAAGACGGGGGACAACCCAGGGAAACUUGGGCUAAUACCGGAUGUGAGCAACUUUUAGUUGUUUGAAAGGUGGCGUAAGCUGUCGCUUGGGGAUGAGCCUGCGUCCUAUUAGUUAGUUGGUGAGGUAACGGCUCACCUAGGCAAUGAUAGGUAGGCGGCCUUAACGGGUGGUCGCCCACACUGGGAUUGAGAUACGGCCCAGACUCCUACGGGAGGCAGCAGUCGAGAAUAGUCUACAAUGGUCGGAAGACUGAUAGUGCGACGCCGCGUGAACGAUGAAUCCCUUCGGGGUGUAAAGUUCUUUUAUAUGUGAGCAGUGCUUCUUAUAUUAACAGUAUGGGGAGAGAGAUAUUAGCAUAUGAAUAAGCAACGGCUAACUCCGUG
rnacentral:rRNA from 1 species